rnacentral:rRNA from 1 species
GAUGAACGCUGGCGGCGUGCCUAAUACAUGCAAGUCGAGCGAAUGGAUUAAGAGCUUGCUCCGGUGGAUUAGUGGCGAACGGGUGAGUAACACGUGAGUAACCUGCCCUUGACUCUGGGAUAACUGCGGGAAACUGUAGCUAAUACCGGAUACGACCCUCGGCGGCAUCGCCAGGGGGUGGAAAGAAUUUCGGUCAAGGAUGGAGUCGCGGCCUAUCAGCUAGUUGGGGAGGUAACGGCCCACCAAGGCGACGACGGGUAGCCGGCCGGAGAGGGUGACCGGCAACACUGGGACUGAGACACGGCCCAGACUCCAACGGGAGGCAGCAGUGGGGAAUAUUGCACAAUGGGCGCAAGCCUGAUGCAGCAACGCCGCGUGAGGGAUGACGGCCUUCGGGUUGUAAACCUCUUUUAGUAGGGAAGAAGCGGAAGUGACGGUACCUGCAGAAAAAGCACCGGCUAACUACGUGCCAGCCGCCGCGUAA